CUGGUGGCUUCCCCCCCUACGCACCCAACUACUCCUCCUGGUUAGACUGCUGGAGCCAGCUGCUCAAGGAGGGGAACAUGAACCGAGGCAAUAGCCUGUUUUUCUGGAAGGUGCCUGCGGGGAAGCUGUACGUGUGGGAAGAUAAGCGGUUCCGCUGAGGCCGGAGCUGGGCGAGGGGCCCGGGGCCGGGCCAGAUGCACUGAAUGAUGGGGGAGUGGUGAUUUCUAUACAGUUUUUUAAAU